AGAGCSGKGCAAGCGUUGUUCGGAAUUACUGGGCGUAAAGGGCGCGUAKGCGGCCUUCUAAGUCGAACGUGAAAUCCCCGGGCUCAACCCGGGAACUGCGUCCGAGACUGGAAGGCUCGAAUCCGGGAGAGGGAUGUGGAAUUCCAGGUGUAGCGGUGAAAUGCGUAGAUAUCUGGAGGAACAUCGGUGGCGAAGGCGGCAUCCUGGACCGGUAUUGACGCUGAGGCGCGAAAGCCAGGGGAGCAAACGGGAUUAGAUACCCCGGUAGUCCUGGCCCUAAACGAUGAAUGCUUGGUGUGGCGGGUAUCGAUCCCUGCCGUGCCGAAGCUAACGCAUUAAGCAUUCCGCCUGGGGAGUACGGUCGCAAGGCUG
rnacentral:rRNA from 1 species